CGGUCGCGUAACACGUGGGCAACCUGCCCCAGAGCGGGGGAUAACAAUCCGAAAGGGUUGCUAAUACCGCAUGUGGAUGUUCUCGGCAUCGAGAGCUUUCUAAAGGAUUUAUUCACUCUGGGAUGGGCCCGCGGCCUAUCAGCUAGUUGGUGGGGUAACGGCCUACCAAGGCUUCGACGGGUAGCUGGUCUGAGAGGACGAUCAGCCGGAUUGGGACUGAGAUACGGCCCAG
rnacentral:rRNA from 1 species